rnacentral:rRNA from 1 species
AGCAGCAGCCGCGGUAAUACGAAGGGUGCAAGCGUUAAUCGGAAUUACUGGGCGUAAAGCGUGCGUAGGCGGUGAGUUAAGUCUGCUGUGAAAUCCCCGGGCUCAACCUGGGAAUGGCAGUGGAUACUGGCUCGCUAGAGUGUGUCAGAGGAUGGUGGAAUUCCCGGUGUAGCGGUGAAAUGCGUAGAGAUCGGGAUGAACAUCAGUGGCGAAGGCGGCCAUCUGGGACAACACUGACGCUGAGGCACGUAAGCGUGGGGAGCAAACAGGAUUAGAUACCCCGGUAGUCCCUGUCUCUUAUAC